AUUGAACGCUGGCGGCAGGCCUAACACAUGCAAGUCGAGCGGAUGAAGGGAGCUUGCUCCUGGAUUCAGCGGCGGACGGGUGAGUAAUGCCUAGGAAUCUGCCUGGUAGUAGGGGAUAACGUCCGGAAACGGGCGCUAAUACCGCAUACGUCCUGAGGGAGAAAGUGGGGGAUCUUCGGACCUCACGCUAUCAGAUGAGCCUAGGUCGGAUUAGCUAGUUGGUGGGGUAAAGGCCUACCAAGGCGACGAUCCGUAACUGGCCUGAGAGGAUGAUCAGUCACACUGGAACUGAGACACGGUCCAGACUCCUACGGGAGGCAGCAGUGGGGAAUAUUGGACAAUGGGCGAAAGCCUGAUCCAGCCAUGCCGCGUGUGUGAAGAAGGUCUUCGGAUUGUAAAGCACUUUAAGUUGGGAGGAAGGGCAGUAAGUUAAUACCUUGCUGUUUUGACGUUACCAACAGAAUAAGCACCGGCUAACUUCGUG
rnacentral:rRNA from 1 species